rnacentral:rRNA from 1 species
UAGAGUUUGAUCAUGGCUCAGAACGAACGCUGGCGGCAUGCCUAACACAUGCAAGUCGAACGGAGGUAGGGGCAACUCUACUUCAGUGGCGGACGGGUGAGGAAUGCGUCGGAAUCUACCCUAUGGUGGGGGAUAACACAGGGAAACUUGUGCUAAUACCGCAUGAUGUCGAGAGACCAAAGCAGAGGACCGCAAGGCCUUGCGCGAUAGGAUGAGCCGACGCCCGAUUAGCUAGUUGGUAGGGUAGAGGCCUACCAAGGCGACGAUCGGUAGCUGGUCUGAGAGGAUGAUCAGCCACACUGGGACUGAGACACGGCCCAGACUCCUACGGGAGGCAGCAGUGGGGAAUAUUGGACAAUGGGCGCAAGCCUGAUCCAGCAAUGCCGCGUGUGUGAAGAAGGCCUGCGGGUUGUAAAGCACUUUUGUUCGGGAAGAAAACGGAUCGGUUAAUACCCGGUUCGGAUGACGGUACCGAAAGAAUAAGCACCGGCUAACUUCGUGCCAGCAGCCGCGGUAAU